AUAUAUACAGGCCAUGUUUCUAGCGCAGAGGUUGAACAUGCAUGGGGAGACACCCCAUACCAUAAAUGAGAGUAGUGCUAGGGCUUUGAUUAGUCAAAAAGAAGAAAGAAAAUUCCUUGUGAAUGGUUCUAGAAGUGUAAUGCACAAGAGGGAAUCUUCCAUAGCGAGAAAGGCUUUAAGUACACCGGCAAAACUCAGAAGAGGGAAAGAGAGAUGAUGGCAGCAGAUACCACCUCCUCCAAUGGAUUUUGGCAGUUGAACUCUCCAUUGCCAUACCUGUUUGUUGGGUUGGCUCUACUGCUGGGCGUUAUAGCGGUUGCACUCAUCAAACUAACCUGCUCGCACAAACACCCUCCUGCAGACUUGGCAACUGAUGAUGACAAAGAUAAGCCACCAAAACCGAUGCACACAGACCCAGACACCGUGCUCGUAGUCAUGGCAGGAGACGACAGCCCCAAGUACCUGGCAAAGCCCAUGGCGUCGACUACCCAUACUGAGCAAGUCUGAGCUGGGGAUCGUCCCUCAAAGUAGGCAUGAAGUUCUUUAUUUUCUCCUUACAGUACUAUGGGCUUUUGUGUUUGUCAGAAUUCUCGGGAAUAUGUAAGUUUUUUAGGUUAGAGGGGAUGUUAAUCAUCUUGUAAAUUAGCUAUAUAUCGAUCCAUCUAAUAUAUCGUUCAUUAUUUCUCCUUCUCUUUUAUUA